UCUGUAAUAAUCUCAACAAUAAAGAUUUUAAAAAAGAAUUUGGAGGGACAGUGUUCAAAGGACAGUAUGAUAUAAAUUCAGUAUCUGGCAUCACUGGUUUUCAUAGCUUCAUGCAUGUUAAACCUGGUGUGUGUUUUUUAACUGAU
rnacentral:snoRNA from 1 species